rnacentral:lncRNA from 1 species
UGAAAAUCGUGUUGGGAAGAGCACUCAAUCAUGACCCUAUAUAUCUGAAGAAAGUCAAGACCUAGAAGAUAGAGGGGAGCAUCUGGCGUCCUUCCCCUCUGUUCUGAAAGGGAGAAGCUUUCCUAAAAGCAUGUAUAGUUGAAUAUUGGAGUAACAGGGCACAUUUUAAGUUCAUGUGAUGCCUAUACUUCAAACUUCCUGAAGGGCAUUGGAUUCUUAUUUAAGCUUAGAGUCUUUGCUACUAAGUUAUGACAUUAAUACCACUAAAUAAAACUUACUUUAAGCUUUCCCAUUCUUGUUGGAUCUGAAGCUAGAUCUUUCACCUCUGAAUCUUGUAGAUCUCAGAUUGAAGCAUUAUUAAGACCAUAAACCAAAUAUCAAGAGCUAAGCAGAUUGUCAAAAUGGAGUUUUGAACCCCGGACUUCAAUUCCCAGAAGUCCUUGGCCACUUCCCAAAAUGCCUUGUAACCUCACCUGAAUUCCCACCUGGGCUGAGAACAGAAAUUGUAUUUAAGCUGACUCUCCGCCUACCUCAGGUUUCUCGGCUUCUGCUUCUAGGGACACGCUUCUCCCAAGAUUUGGGCCUUUUGUCAGAAAGGGAAGAAAGUGGUGGCAUCUGGUGGCGCGCUGGCUUACAUUGUAGCACAUAGAAAUCUUUCUUCCAAUAUCCCAAUUUUUUACAAUAGGAAGCACACCUUGUCACCCUAUGAGCUUGGAGCUUGAUACCCAGAGAAGGAAAGGCUAAGGAUAGAGGAGGGAAAAAAAAGUCUAUUUCAGGGCCUCUUUCAUCUCUAUGUAAAACCUUAACCUGACUUUCCAUUUGUUCCUUCUCCUUUUAUUUGGAGACCUCCUCCUGAAGGAAAGAGUCCCUAUUCUCAACCUCCCCCUUUUACUUUUGAAUUUUAAUUGUUAAAUAUCCUUUUGAAGGAGACUUUAGAUUCAGACUCUUGCAUGGUUUCAUAUUUCAAGGAGCCAUUGAAAAAAGGCAUCUUCUCAAGGCCAUCAAACUUGGGGUCAAUGUUAUCAAGAGUAAAAAUGGUGAAAAUUUCAUUUUAUUGUGAUUAAAGAAGUGCUAUUGUGGCCAGAAAUAGCAGGGUUGAAUUUUGUUAAAUUCUUCCAA